rnacentral:rRNA from 1 species
CAGCACCUCAAGUGGUCAGGAUGAUUAUUGGGCCUAAAGCAUCCGUAGCCGGCGCUGUAAGUUUUCGGUUAAAUCUGUACGCUCAACGUACAGGCUGCCGGGAAUACUGCAGCGCUAGGGAGUGGGAGAGGUAGAUGGUACUCGGUAGGAAGGGGUAAAAUCCUUUGAUCUAUUGAUGACCACCUGUGGCGAAGGCGAUCUACCAGAACACGUCCGACGGCGAGGGAUGAAAGCUGGGGGAGCAAACCGGAUUAGAUACCCGAGUAGUCC